UCCUCCAUUCAGUUUACUGUGAUGCACAUCCGGGUCGUUGAAGAAGAGCAAUCACGUGUAGAGUGCAGAACUCUCCUUCGGCCAUUGAGCACCCACUCUGUAUUUUGUUUUGGGCCAUUUCCUUCUCUACCAUUGAACCAUGAACGUGUAGGUAAUGGUAAUAUAUCCCUGGGAAUUACGUUGAAGAAGUGUUAUUUUCCCCGCUUCUACCCUGCCUAUGAUCGGCUAAUCCCUCGUCUGCUAAUCGCUAACGUUAGCCUAGCUGUGAUGCUAACCGGUGCUACGAACUUGACGGAUUAGGGAAGAGAGCGACUCGGCCUCAGCGCUCACGUCGCUCCCGAUUGCAGCAGCUACUGGAGGCGUCACCACUUUGUCCACGACACCGUCCACGAUUGCAGAGACUUCGUCCAUGAUCGGAGAGACAUUGUUGAGGAUGAGGGAGACAUCGUCCAUGAUCAGAGACAUUGUCCAUGAUAGCAGAGACCUUGUCAAAGAUGAGAGAGACGUUGUCCAUGAUCAGAGACAUUAUCCAUGCUUCGUAGAGACCUUGCGAUAGAAUCGGCGGAGACGGGGGUCACCGAUUUGACGGCAUUGCCCGCGAUCAUGGAGACAUUGUCGAUGAUCACAGAGCCUUUGUCCAUAAUCUCAGAGACAUUGUCCACGAUCACAGAGAGUCUUCGUACAAUGAAGCAGUUCUUUGAGACCAGGACAGACGCCUCCAGGCGUCACCACUUUGUCCACGACAUCGUCCACGAUCGCAGAGACUUCGUCCAUGAUCGGAGAGACAUUGUUGAGGAUGAGGGAGACAUCGUCCAUGAUCAGAGACAUUGUCCAUGAUAGCAGAGACCUUGUCAAAGAUGAGAGAGACGUUGUCCAUGAUCAGAGACAUUAUCCAUGCUUCGUAGAGACCUUGCGAUAGAAUCGGCGGAGACGGGGGUCACCGAUUUGACGGCAUUGCCCGCGAUCAUGGAGACAUUGUCGAUGAUCACAGAGACACCGUCUAUGAUCUCAGAGACAUCGUCCACGAUCACACAGACAUUGUCCAUGAUCACAGAGACUUUGUCCAUAAUCUCGGAGACAUUGUCCGCGAUCACAGAGACGUAGUCCACGAUCACAGAGAGUCUUCGUACAAUGAAGCAGUUAUUUGAGACCAGGACAGAGGCCUCCAGGCGUCACCACUUUGUCCACGACAUCGUCCACGAUCGCAGAGACUUCGUCCAUGAUCGGAGAGACAUUGUUGAGGAUGAGGGAGACAUCGUCCAUGAUCAGAGACGUUGUCCAUGAUAGCAGAGACCUUGUCAAAGAUGAGAGAGACGUUGUCCAUGAUCAGAGACAUUAUCCAUGCUUCGUAGAGACCUUGCGAUAGAAUCGGCGGAGACGGGGGUCACCGAUUUGACGGCAUUGCCCGCGAUCAUGGAGACAUUGUCGAUGAUCACAGAGACACCGUCUAUGAUCUCAGAGACAUCGUCCACGUCACACAGACAUUGUCCAUGAUCACAGAGCCUUUGUCCAUAAUCUCGGAGACAUUGUCCGCGAUCACAGAGACGUAGUCCACGAUCACAGAGAGUCUUCGUACAAUGAAGCAGUUCUUUGAGACCAGGACAGAGGCCUCCAGGCGUCACCACUUUGUCCAUGACAUCGUCCACGAUCGCAGAGACUUCGUCCAUGAUCGGAGAGACAUUGUUGAGGAUGAGGGAGACAUCGUCCAUUAUCAGAGACAUUGUCCAUGAUAGCAGAGACCUUGUCAAAGAUGAGAGAGACGUUGUCCAUGAUCAGAGACAUUAUCCAUGCUUCGUAGAGACCUUGCGAUAGAAUCGGCGGAGACGGGGGUCACCGAUUUGACGGCAUUGCCCGCGAUCAUAGAGACAUUGUCGAUGAUCACAGAGACACCGUCUAUGAUCUCAGAGACAUCGUCCACGAUCACACAGACAUUGUCCAUGAUCACAGAGACUUUGUCCAUAAUCUCGGAGACAUUGUCCGCGAUCACAGAAACGUAGUCCACGAUCACAGAGAGUCUUUGUACAAUGAAGCAGUUAUUUGGGACCAGGACAGAGGCCUCCAGGCAUCACCACUUCGGCCAUGACAUUGUCCACGAUAGCAGCGACGCCGUCCACAAUAACAGAGAGUCUUCAUACAAUGAAGAGAGACUUCUUUGAGACCAGAACAGAGGCCUCCAGGCAUCACCACUUCGGCCAUGACAUUGUCCACGAUAGCAGCGACGCCGUCCACAAUAACAGAGAGUCUUCAUACAAUGAAGAGAGACUUCUUUGAGACCAGAACAGAGGCCUCCAGAAGACGACUACAGCAGCUGAAGAUGAAAGAAAACAGAAGUGUUACGAAGCCAUUAAUUAGAUAAGACUUCCACCAUCUAUAAUGUAGUCAAUGGUACAUUUUCCAAAGACUAAUAUGUCUUUACUAAACACCUCAUUCAACAAUUAUUUAAUUAAUAAUUGUACCACAAGCAGUUAAAAUGAUCACAAAGAUGCUUAGUAGACAUAUUCAUCUUUGGAAAAUGUGCUCAUAACUACAUUAAUUCUAACCAGCUCUAACAAUUGUUUCCUCGUGGUCACAUGUCUGUCAUUAUCUUUGCUAUGAUUUGUUGUCUGGAAUAAAAACAAGUGUCUUUCUAAACUAUUUAGUUGUGUUUUUUAUGGUUUUACACUCAUUGUUCAGACAUAUUUUGUAAGGGUUUUUAAAUAUUUUAAGUUUCAUAAUUAUGUUUUAGUUUUAAAUAAAGAUCCUACAGGUUUGUUUUAGA